UCCUUUUGAGUGUGACACAAGCAGGAACAAACGUUGCUCCGGAUAGUUCAUAGUUGCUGAAACGUGCGUGUUGAUGGUCAUGUUCAUUUAGAUAUCUAGCUUGCAAAAGACAAAAUACAAAUGCUCGAGAAAAGUUGUCAAGUCGUCCAAUUACAGGCUAAUAUUGUAGCAUUAUCUAUAUGAAUAGACUAGGACAGAUUGCUAGUAGUCAUCAUCAUGAUUGAUAAUAGCAAAUGGAAUGUGGUUGCUGACAUUAUUUUUAGCCAAAAAAGCCUGCACGGUGACGAGGAAAUACACUGUCUCUGUUCCAGAGCUUUUGUUCAGGAUCGUGAGCUGUACAGAUCUGACAACAGAUACCUCAUCUCCGGCCUGACGGAUGGAGGGCAGCGUGGUAAUAAGUUCUCAGAGUUAGAGGAGGAGCUGCCAGGUGAGGAGGAAGAGGAGGAUUGCAAAGUGGAGGCUGAGUCUGAAGAUGAAGAAACCAAGUUAAUGGCCAGUAUGGGGUUGCCAGUGGCCUUCAUCAGUUCCUCAGCAGAAAGGAAAGUGAGAAAUAAGUCCAAAAGGAGAGUAGCCAAUCACUGGCAGGCACCCCCUGCGGAGGAAGAGGAGGAAACUGAUGAAGGUGACCCAGAGGUGUGCAGGGGAGGGCAGGAGGAGACUCAGGACAAUGGCUGGGAGUCCUACUGGAGUGAGCAUGGGGAAGGUCUGCUGUGGCAGAGUUGGCUGGAGAAGCACCCUGACAGCGACCCUGGAGCGCUUCCCCCCUGGGACUGUCCCGACAGCCAGCCUGCCUGGGAGCAGCACGCCCAGGAGACCUUCCUGCUCUACUGGGAGCAGUUCACCUACUGGGCCUCCCAGGGAUGGAGCGCCCACAGCGACUCCACCGGCCCUGGGCUGGAGGGGGAGAGCAGGGGCCCUGGAGGUGUGGGAGGUGGAUGUGAGGUCGAGGCGGAGGACGGAAGGACGCAUGCGGAGUCGUCCCGUGCUGCUGAAGAUGCUGAGGUUCUGAGUGGACAGAUGGGCCCGGCGUGCGCUGGGGAUGUAGCGGAUCUGAUUGGUCAGAUGAGCCUGCAAUCAGAGGGAGGGAGCCGGAUUGGCGUUGGAGAACAGACAGCAGAUGAUGAUUGGCCGGUCUGUGGGGGGGGCGGGCCUUGUGAUGGUGGGGAUCGUAAGAGGGCUGCCUCCUCCUCAAAGCAGAGCACACAAUCCAGAGGUUCAGAGCAGAGAGGCCAGAGCACGAGCAGUGAGAAGGGAUCAGGCCAGAAUAGACUGUCGAACGACCCCCAUGAUGGCAGCGAUGAUGAUGAACCACCAGAGAGAAGAUGGACCCACAUCAAACGAAGCCACGAGCAGGAUGUGGAGGAAAGCCCACCCAUGUCUGUGGACGAGGCCUGGGACAAACUGGGCCUGAAACGCAACCCAGAGCCCAGGUUCGAGAGUGUCCUGAAGUUCAAGCCCAGCCCCCGUGUCCCAGCAUGCUCUGGGAGGGCUAACAGGAAGCAGCGUACAGUGGGAGGAAGUGCCGCCUGCCGCAUCAACAAGCACACCUUCUUCACAGAGGACGGAGAGCAGACACAGCCCCUCGAGAGCAGGACCGUCCUGAAGGUGCAGAACUUCCUUCAGAGAGUCAAGAGGGAGAGCGAGGGAGACGCAGUUCUCCAAGACCCGUCAGCAGAGGGCGCCGGCGAGACGCAGCCCCACAGAGAGAGACGAACAUCUGCAUCUGUGGGGGACGAAGAGGAGGAGGAGGUGAAGGAGGAGAGUGGGGGAGGAGACGGAAACGAGGAAGAGGAGGCUGGACCUGUUCUUCCUCCCAGUACGGAGUUGGACACCAGUACGAAACUCCAACCUCCAGCUCUCCUGCAUGUCUUCACCAGAACGGAUGAUGACGAUGAAGAGGAGGAGGAUGAAGACGGAGGCCGGGUGCUGGUUCCCCUGGAUGUUCCGGACUUCCUGAUACCCGACCCACCCGAGAACCAAAGCCACCCAGGAGAGAGCAGGAAGAGUAAGAAACAGAAGAAGAAGAAGGUGAAGAGGAGGGGGAGGUGUGGGGCGAUGCCGCCUGAGAUCGCUGCAGAGCCGGACCUGGCCAAGUACUGGGCCCAGCGCUACCGGCUGUUCUCCCGCUUCGACGAGGGCAUCAAGAUGGACCACGAGGGCUGGUUCUCCGUGACUCCAGAGAAGAUAGCGGAGCACAUCGCCUUGAGGGUCCAGGAAAGCUUCCACUGUGACCUCAUCAUCGACGCCUUCUGCGGGGUCGGGGGCAACGCCAUCCAGUUUGCCCUCACAGGGAAGCGAGUGCUCGCCAUCGAUAUCGACCCUGUGCGCCUGGCUCUGGCCCGUCACAACGCCCAGGUCUACCAGGUGGCCGAGCGCAUCGACUUCCUGCAGGGGGACUUCCUGCAGCUGGCGCCACGGUUACGCGGCGACGUGGUGUUCCUCAGCCCGCCAUGGGGGGGCCCCGACUACCUCACAGCAGACGUGUUCAACAUCAAGACCAUGAUGGACCCAGACGGAUAUCCUUUGCUGUCUGGGUGAUGAUCUGUGUGCAAAGGGAUAGGGGCAGCUACUAUCAUUUGACCUGGGCUCAAAUACUAUUUGAAACUAUUUCAAUCAAUUUGAAUUGGAGUACCUUUUAGAAUGUGUGCCUCUUGCUUUCAAAACGACUGGGUGGUUAGAAAAUCUAAGUAAAAAAAAAAAAUAGGUUAGCACACAUAAAAUUGUGGAAGUUCAAGCCACAUUUGUGUAACUUGGAAUCAGCUAGGGACAAGAUGUCCUGGACCAGACCUCUGCUUGCGAGUUUGCUUGGUCUGCUACCACGGUCUUAAAGAGGACACGUCUCUAAAUACUGUGGCAGUGACAGUGGUUGUAGUCAGUGCUUAAUUUAAUUACAUGCUAGUUAUAUAUUAUUAUCUCUUUAUCACCUUGUUAUCUGUUACAUUAUGUAGGAAUUUGAAAUGAUGUUGUUUUCCUUUAACUAUUAACACGUUUGACAUUUU